rnacentral:rRNA from 1 species
GACGAACGCUGGCGGCGUGCUUAACACAUGCAAGUCGAACGGAAAGGCCCUGCUUGCAGGGUACUCGAGUGGCGAACGGGUGAGUAACACGUGGGUGAUCUGCCCUGCACUUCGGGAUAAGCCUGGGAAACUGGGUCUAAUACCGGAUAGGAGCCAUUUUUAGUGUGAUGGUUGGAAAGUUUUUUCGGUGUAGGAUGAGCUCGCGGCCUAUCAGCUUGUUGGGGGGGUAAUGGCCUACCAAGGCGGCGACGGGUAGCCGGCCUGAGAGGGUGGACGGCCACAUUGGGACUGAGAUGCGGCCCAGACUCCUACGGGAGGCAGCAGUGGGGAAGAUUGCACAAUGGGCGCAAGCCUGAUGCAGCGACGCCGCGUGGGGGAUGACGGCCUUCGGGUUGUAAACUACUUUCGCUAGGGACGAAGCUUUUUGUGACGGUACCUAGAUAAGAAGCACCGGCUAACUACGUG